rnacentral:rRNA from 1 species
CCUACGGGAGGCAGCAGUGGGGAAUAUUGGACAAUGGGGGGAACCCUGAUCCAGCCAUGCCGCGUGUGUGAAGAAGGCCCUCGGGUUGUAAAGCACUUUCAGUGAGGAAGAACGCCUGGUGGUUAAUACCCAUCAGGAAAGACAUCACUCACAGAAGAAGCACCGGCUAACUCCGUGCCAGCAGCCGCGGUAAUACGGAGGGUGCGAGCGUUAAUCGGAAUUACUGGGCGUAAAGCGCGCGUAGGUGGCUUGAUAAGCCGGUUGUGAAAGCCCCGGGCUCAACCUGGGAACGGCAUCCGGAACUGUCAAGCUAGAGUGCAGGAGAGGAAGGUAGAAUUCCCGGUGUAGCGGUGAAAUGCGUAGAGAUCGGGAGGAAUACCAGUGGCGAAGGCGGCCUUCUGGACUGACACUGACACUGAGGUGCGAAAGCGUGGGUAGCAAACAGGAUUAGAUACCCUUGUAUC